ensembl:lncRNA
CGUCUCGCAAGAACCGCGCGAUACACGAACAGACAAAGAAGUCGUCUUUCUGAGUUUCUACAAUGGCGGCCCGGUAUCGCCAUUCCGACUCACCACAAACUCCUCGCAUAGAACAGCCUGGACAUGACCGACUGGUUCCAGUCAGACCCGCGACAGACACUGAGAAGAAACUAUUGAGCGUUAUCAGCCGGCUGUCUGGCCAGAGAGGACCGCUGGAGGAGAAGCUGGAGGAGAAGCUGGAGGAGAGGAUAGCCGCCAUGGAAGCAAAAUUAAACACUUUCUCCAGCGGCGAGGAAAUUCAGCGGAAAAGAGGAGAGCACAGUCCUAAAAUUGCGACUGGGCUCACCUCACAAUGAGACAGUCAGGACAUAUUUAGUUAAAACUUUGGCUGAAGUCCAGAUGUGGAGACAGACGUCCUUCUAUCUGAUUGUAAAAAGCUUUCUGAAACUCUACAGAGGAACUACCGCUACAGUCAACCCAACAUGGCGGAUCAGGCGGAGGCCAUGAAGUCUUCUGCCCCGAGUCGCCACAGAAGAAAGAGGCUGCUGGAUGCCAGGAAGACAGUCCUUGCUCCAGAUGAAGAGAACUUCUGGAAGGGCAUCACAGCUGACAUGAUGUCAGAUGAAGAGGACGGCAGCGUUGACGGGGUGCGUGGAUGGAUAGUACGGCCUCCAUCCUUCCACAGCCAGGAGCUAGCCAACCUGUGUGCAGCCCUACAGGCUGGAGGCUGAUGUAAAGUACACAGCUCUACAUCACAGGCGUUUUCACAAUGGACAGCGGUCUGAUAGACUGAAGCCACUGAAGUACAACACGGCAGCAGCCAGAAAACAUUUUAAGCCAGAGCUGAUGCUUGAGACCAGCCUGGAGUGAGAGAUGAACUUGGUCAAAAUUUUUUGUACAUUUUUUGUUUUUAAAGACAGUUUAUUUUAAUUUUGGAUUUCUCACUCCCCCCUUGCCCCACACACCCACCCCCCAACUCCACAAACAUGAUUCAUUCAAGGUAUUUCUCCUCACCCGCCAACUAGGAGUUCAUAGCCUGAGAACAACCAAUAACUGUGGGGAACUUAGUAGGUUUUCAGUGAUUCACAGGGUCGAUAAUCUGGCUUUUCAUGCAGUGAUUAGCAGUAACGUUAGCAGAGCUUCAGGUGAGCAGUGUGGCAGCAGACAGACAGUAAAGGAGUGAACAGAGCCUUUACAGAAGAAGUGCACUGCCCUGACAAGGCCUAUGCAAUCCACUGCAAAAUAAGGGGUGAAGCAGUGAGUUUGACUUGAUUGCCUGAACUAGAUCAAAGGCUUUUCUUAGAUGUUCCCAUCUGUCAAGCAUUGCAGGAAUAGGUGUAACACUAGGCAGGCAACUGAAAUCCCAUAGGAACACACAUGUUGUACCAAAACCAGAACUUAAAAACACAUUACCUACCCUGAAGCUGCAAUGCGAAAUGCACUUUUCACUCAGAGACGACUGAACCAAAAAAUGCGUGGCACUGAAUUUCAUUGAUAUAUACUGAUACUUUAUUCCUGAUCCAACUCAGCAUCCUGGCAGAUGAAUAAACUGAUAGUUGUGCACAAGAGUGGAAAAUAAAGCUCUUUUAUGCAAUUCAAUCUGAAUGAAAGGGAGAGAUUUAGAGGGAAAAUGCUACAUUUAGAUGGGAUGAUGGAUUGAGAAAUAAGUUCAGGAUGGACUCUAACCUUUUAGAUAGGGCUACAGGAGACUAAACUUUGUCAGCAUGCUGUAAAUCAAGUCACUGGGAUCAUAAGACGCUUCUCAAUGAGUAGAUGAUACUGCUUUAUAAUGUCCCUGCUCUUUUGAGAAUGUUUAUACAAUGUUGAUGGUCCCACUUUAAGUGAAUAUGAUGGGCAGUGACUGAAUCAAUGGAUCAGAUCCAACUUGGGCUGAACACUUUGGACCUAAGAAUGACUGGCUACACUAAACACACCUGAUUAAAGUAGAACGCGAUUUGCCAAAGGAAAUUUUGGAUUUAUUGGGGUUCUGUUUAACCUUUCUAUGGUCUUCACCUUACAAUGUGAAGUGCUUUGAGAUGACAUAUACUGUAAAUUGGUGCUAAGAUAACACUAAAUAGAACUGAGCCCUAGGACAGACUAAUAACCUGUCCAGGUGAACCCUGCCUUCAUCUUGAGUCAGCUGGGAUAGACAGAGGAUAAAGCAAUGCAUAGAUAAUGGAUGAAUUGAAUUGAAUCGAAUCGAAUCGAAUUGACGUCCAUAUUCGACUAUAAGCAGACCGGAUACCAAGAUUGAUGGAGAUUGAGACAGCUUGUGUUAUGCAAAGAUUUGGAGUUUGGGUUGUGUUACAUUAAUGACAGGAUGAAUACCAGAACGUAACAGAUUGAAUCAGCUCUCAAGAUGUUCUACAGACAUAAUUCAAGAAUCAAGACAUACUUUUAGUUCCAUAUUAAUUCAAGAUCCAUGUUUUACAUGUAGAAUGUUCUAUGAGUGAAUUAAGCAAAUAGGCAUAGGACAAAUAUGCUCUACAACUGUGGAUGGAAGAGAAAUCCUGUUGAUUAAUGUGGACACCGCUGGAUUGGACACUGAAUAAAAACUGGAAAUAAUAUCUAUCAUUCCCACACAUAUGGAACACUGACUGGUCAACAGCCUCAUGGCACGUAGACUUCAUUGUUAAAAUGUGUUGUGAUGAGAGAGGAG